rnacentral:rRNA from 1 species
GACGAGGGGUCCUAGCGUUGUUCGGAAUCAUUGGGCGUAAAGCGUAGGUAGGCGGCUAUUUAAGUCAGGUGUGAAAGCCCCGGGCUCAACCCGGGAAGUGCAUUUGAUACUGGAUAGCUUGAGUAUGGGAGAGGAUAGUGGAAUUCCUGGUGUAGUGGUGAAAUACGUAGAUAUCAGGAGGAACACCGGCAGCGAAGGCGGCUAUCUGGCCCUAUACUGACGCUGAGCUACGAAAGCGUGGGGAGCAAACAGG